UUGGGCGUAAGGGCUCGCAGGCGGUUUCUUAAGUCUGAUGUGAAAGCCCCCGGCUCAACCGGGGAGGGUCAUUGGAAACUGGGAAACUUGAGUGCAGAAGAGGAGAGUGGAAUUCCACGUGUAGCGGUGAAAUGCGUAGAGAUGUGGAGGAACACCAGUGGCGAAGGCGACUCUCUGGUCUGUAACUGACGCUGAGGAGCGAAAGCGUGGGGAGCGAACAGGAUUAGAUACCCUGGUAGUCCACGCCGUAAACGAUGAGUGCUAAGUGUUAGGGGGUUUCCGCCCCU
rnacentral:rRNA from 1 species